CAUGUUAAGUAAAAGCACAGACGACCAAAGGAAUGGGAAGCGAUAGAAAUAUAUUGAAAACUUGAAUAAACAGAAAACAAAAACACCAAUGCUGAGUAGCCAUGGUGGGAUUUAUAUGCAUACAUAUAUUGAUGGAAAGUAGGGAACAUAUGUUGAUAUAUAACAUGGAUAUAGGGUUAAGGUCCCUGCAGCUUCACUGAGAAUCCAUUCAUUUCCAGGAUGAAUGAAGCAAAUUUCAUUAAUCAAAGAACCGAGUAGAAGAAAACUGAUCCCAAUAGCAGCAAUUUAUCAAGACUUUUUAGAAUUUUGGAGUAAAUUUGUAUUUUUUCAGCAAUUUAUCUUUAGAUACGAGGCAGCUGUUAAAUUCCAAUUCUAUUGCCUUUCAAUCAAUUAUAUACAAACUGAUGCUUUAAGUCAAUGAUUUCAUACACAGUAGCAGAUUAAAAACACACACUGUACGUUCAUGUCCAUCUUCAAAAUCCUACUAAGAAUAGGUUACCGAGCCUCAACAAAUUUUGGGUGCUUCAGAACAUCAAAGCAUCACGGUGUUGGAAAUUCUGACUAAAUUCUACCACAACUAAUGAUACCCUAAACUCUCUACCUCUUAACUUGAGAUGCUCAGGAAUUAAUCUCCACAUAUGGAGCACUAUACAGUUCGAUGGCUCAACAUACUUUUAAAUUCAUCUUCUUUACCAAUCAUUCUUGAAUAUGCAGGUUAGCUCGCGAAAGAGGUCUGCCGCAUGCAUGCACCCACCUCUCUAGAUCCAUUAGGUAAUGCAGAAGAAAGACAUUUAAGGACAUUAGUGCUUACCUAAGCGUGUCUCCAGGCGGUAAUUUUGGUCCCCUCAAUACUGGUGAGAUGCUGAAAUUAUUGCCAUCAGCUUGGAACGAAGGGUGCCCAAGAGGCACUGGUCGAUCUGGAAUCUGUGGAACUUCAAUAUCUCCUUCUAACAUUUUCAGCGCAUCCAGAAUGGUUGGCCUUAGAGCCACCAUUAUAUGAGCACACAAAAUCCCAACCAGCACAAACCUUUCCAUUAUCCCCUUCGGAUUUGAAUUUGAAGAAUCACCACCUCUCAACAAAGAAGCAUCCAAUGCCUGUUCCACUUUUCCAGCUUUCACCAAUGACCAGGCCCAGUCUGUGAUCAAUAAAGCACGAGGUGACCCUGAAGAAGACAAAUCAAGAGCUUUUCUCCCACUCAUUAUCUCCAAAACAACCACCCCAAAGCUAUAAACAUCGCUCUUCUCAGUCAGUUGACCAUAAAGAGCAUAUUCGGGUGCUAAGUACCCAUGAGUUCCAGCCACUCUUGUCGUAAGAUGAGACUGCCCUUCCCUACUUUGCUUUGCCAACCCAAAAUCGGCAACUCUUGCUCUCAUUUCAGCAUCUAACAAUAUAUUUUUCCCCUUGAUAUCUCUAUGAUAUAUUCCAGGCUUGACUCCAUGGUGCAAAUAAGCUAAUCCCUUCGCCACAUCCAAAAUUAUGCUCUUUCUUUGAGGCCAACUUAACAAUUGCUUUUGAAUUUGAUUAUCCGAUGAUGGAAAUAAAUGGUCAUCAAGAUUCCCAUUUGACAUGUAAUCAUAAACAAGAUACCUCUGAUUGCCUCUCUCAUCAGAAUUUACAUCAUCGUCAAUCACACAGCACCCUCUGAGCGGCACCAAAUUCCUGUGCUUCAAGUUGCUAAUAAUCUCAACCUCGUUGCAAAACUCUGCAUCACCUUGAAAAUCAGAUUCUAUAACCCUUUUAAUAGCCACCACUGUCCCAUCAGAUAAAACCCCCUUGUAAACAAAACCAAACCCGCCUCUCCCAAUAAAAUUCUUCUGCGAGAAAUUGUCUGUUGCCUUCUCAAGAUCCCGAAUUUUAAACCAAAUUGACCCUGUAUUCGGCCUCAGUUUAGGCCUAGACCCUUGUUGUUCAUCUAAAUCAAAACCAAACCCUAGAUUCUUUUUCCUUCUCCAUUUCUUAUCAUACCAAAGAUACAAUCCUAACAAACUAGAGAUUACCAAAAUAGCAACACCAGCACCAGUCAAGCCAAAAACAAGAGCAGAAUGAGAAUUGCUAGCUGAACCAACGCUUGAAUUUAAUUCCAAACUAAAUAUACAUGAAACAACACCAUCACUUUCAGGACCAAACUCGUUAACAAUACCAGCAGCAUAAAGAACAGCAAAGUAAAAACAAUCUUGAGCAUGAGUUUGAUUACCAUCAGCAGACAGCAACAACGACUGUACUUUAUAACCAGCUCUAAGACAAGAAGCACAAGCUGUAAGAUCAGUAAGAUCAGACCGGCAAUCUGAAUCAAGAGAAGUCGAUUUACCAAGUUGAUCAACCCAGUCUUGAGAUGUCUCUAUACGGGCACAGAUGUUAGGUGCUGUAACAAACUGUAAAGGGUUAAAGCAGUGAGAGACAAGAUCGUCGGAAAGAGAAAAGGAGCUGAGCUUUGACUGGUAAUCUUGAAGGCAAGAACUAGAGGUAGCUAAGUUUGGAAGUUGAAAAAAAGAGGUUUCUUUGAGAUGUUGAGAUAGGGCAACGCCAAAGAGGGAGAGUAUGGUUUGGCAACAUGGGGGCUUGCUUGUGCUGUUGGUAUUGUCAUUUUGAGCAAGAGGGUUGAAGUUUCGACAAAGAGUUUGGUUCCACGGGAUUCUUAAGACAUAGUUAAGGUCCAUAGGGCAUAUGUUUGAAGUGGAGGUUUCUGCUGCUGCAGAGGUGAGAGGGAGACAGAAUGAUAUCAAGACAAGAAACCUUAAGAAAUCAAGAUUACUGCUGCCCCCCAUGCCAAGCAUUAGAUUUUGCUAAGAAUAGGGUUGCUUAGGAUUUAUUGUUAUCUUGGCUUAUGAGCUCUGGCUUGAAGUGCAGAGGAGAGGAAGAAGAAGACGAAGAAAUCAUAUGGAAGAAGAGAGGGAAAGUUCUGGUCAAACACUCACUUCAAGGGUUGUGCAGCAGGGAGUUCAGUCGGUAAGCACCAUUCAAAUAAACAAAAAAUAAUUAUCCCAAUUAAUUUUGAUAACAAAAAGUUUGAAAAUCUUUUAAGAAUAAAAAAUUCCGGUAAUUCUUCGGAAUAAAUUUCAAAAUAUUCAGGUAAGGGGGAAAAAAUUUCACGGUAUCCUAAAUUACAUGAACUACCCCAACGCUCACCUUACGUUACUCUGAGUGCUAAACUCAGCUCGCCAAAUUUACUCUAAUAAUAGUUAGUUUUUCAAGUUAAAUAAAAAAAAAGUUGUUUUAGUGAAAUCUAAUCAGACAAGCGUUUUCCAAGUUGUUAAGUAACAUGAUUUGUUUAGUAAUAUAAUAGUGAUUAUUUUUUAAAAUAUUUUUUAUUUUAAAAUAAUAAUUUUUAUAUUAACAUAUAAAAAUGAUGUGAAAUUAUAAAAAAUUAAUUUCUUAAAAAAAUAUGUUUAGACAGUAAAAACAAACCGUAAUUUGCAUGUUGAAUGCUUGGAAGUGGACUAAACGCGCUCCAAAAGGUGGGGUUUGCUUUGACCGUGGAAUAAAAGAUGGGAUGGCGUCACAUGGACGGAAGCUGGAAUGCUUUUACAAAAAGAAGACUGAUUGACGGAGUUAAGGAAGUGUCAGCACAAUGAUAAGUUCACUGACAUGGCAUUUUUGCAACCACUGGAUGAAAUCUUGUGGCUCAUCUUAUCCAUAUCGAUCGACAAUCUCAUCCCUAUUUAUUUAUUUAUUUAUUUAUUUCACUAAUUUUCAGAUUUUCCACCACUUUCUUCCCACUUUUAUUUGCCCUUCUCGAUGCUGUUUAUGUCCAUGUUAUUGGAAAAGUCUUCACAUGAAUUUUUAGGAUUGUGGAAAUUUUAAUUUUUUUAAAAAAUAUAUUUUACUUAAAAAAUAUUAAAUUGAUAAUUUUUUAGUGGUUUAUAUUGAUUUUGAUAUGUUAAUAUUUUAAAAAAAAUCUAAAAUAAAAUAUUAUAUAAAUAAAUUUUUAAAUAAAAAAUAUUUUUUAAAAAAACCUAAACCACAGUAUCAAAUACACAACAAUUAAAUAUCUAUAUAGCAUCUCUAUGGCGGGAAGCUUUGCUAUCUUUUUCCUAUUAGAAUUUUUUUUAUUUUUGAUGCAUUAAUUCAAUACAAUAAAUGUAUUUUUAAAAUUAUUGGAGAAAAAGAGUUUAAUCAAUCAAGAUGAAAACAAAAUUUUAAAAAAUAUAUUUAUUAAAUUGAUAUAAAAUUUUAACCGGAAGAUAAUACAAGUUAUUGAUUUGUUAAGUAAAUUAUGAAUUACCAAAUUAAUUUAGAUUAGUUUUUCUUAUGAAAAAAUUCAUUUAAUUCUUUUGAUAUUAACCCUGCAAAGUCAUCUAAAUUAGAUUUUAAAUCAUAAAAUUACGAAAUUGAACCGAACUUAGCCGCUAUAUUGGAAAGUACUGACCUCAAUGACAGUGACAAAAGAACCUCCCUUAAUGACCUCAAUGACAGUGACAAUCAUGGACCAUUCCUCGUCUUUGGGCUGCACUUGACAUAAGUUGGUCUGCGUUAUUAACUUGGUCUGCAUCUUAAUAUUGUUCUCAUUUGUUCCCAUUCAUUGAAGAGGUGAUAGACCUUAAAACACCAUUAAGUUAUUUUAAGGAAGUGGAGAAGCUACCAAGGCAGAAAUUAAGCGAUGAAGUAGCUAAGACAUUGUUGUCCUCUGCUCUUUACUUGUUCAGCAUUGGAAGCAAUGACUACUUUGUACCUUUCAUUACAAACCCCAGUGCGCUUCAAUCCUACAACAGAAACGAGUACAUCAGGAUGGUUAUCGGCAACCUGACAUCUGGUAUCCAAGUGAUAUGUUAAUAACCUAAACAUUCUUUCUGUUUUUCAAAUCGAUCAUAGUCUAUAUAUGGUUUCGCUUUACUGUUCCAGGAAAUAUAUAAGGAGGGAUGAAAUUUCAAUCUUGGCUGCAUUGGGCCGUUUUCCUUCCUGAGAGCACUUAAACGAACUAGAACAAGAAGUUCAGGCUGCAUGGAUGAAGUUGCAGUUCUGACAAAGCUACACAAUAGAGAACUCUAAGGUCCUUAAAAAGCUUGAGAGACAGCUUAAUGGAUUUAAGUAUUCAAAUUUUGAUUUCUAUACUUCACAUAGUGAAAGAAUAAAUCAUCCCACCGAAUAUGGUAUGUUUUUAUCUACAUGUCAAUUCAGAAUUUCCUGCUUGUGUUUGUCAAAUAACAAGUCUAUCCUAACUGUCAAGUUCAGGGUAUGACUUGUUUCUAAUCCUUCUAUACCUAUUUUAGGUUUUAAUUGUUGCAACUUGAAUGUGAAGAUUUUAAGGAGAUAAAAGUGGCAUGUUGUGGCGCUGGUCCGUAUUGAGGUUCCAAGUGUGGCCUGAACAAGUUCGAAUUACGCGAUAAUGCGAGUGAAUAUCUCUUCUUUGAUGGAAUUCAUCCAGCAGAUGAGGUUCAUAAUCAAUUUGCAAAGUUGUUGUGGAGUGGAAAUCCUGAUGUUGGAGGGCCUUACAAUCUCAAAACACUGUUUGAGGAAUAGCAUAAAUGAUAAAACAAGGUGUACUUUUUUCCAGAUGCUGUAUUAGUUAACCCAGAAGCCAAAGAAUACUUGCUUCUCUUUAUUCUAUCUUGACUUGGAAGAAAUGACAUUAGAUGUAAGACCCAGACUUUUGGCUCAAACCCAAGCCCAAGUCAGCCCAAACCCAACCUAAGUUAACCUAGGUAUAUAAGAAAAAGUUGCAAGAGAAUUAUUGUUCUCUCUUCUAAGUCUUGUGGCCACCGUGACCCUCUCCUCAUCAAACCAAGGAUUUCAGUUUUUGAUCUUGAGUUUUGGGUUUAAGAAAAGUGAAAGUAGCAAGUAAGUGAUUCUCUCUCAUGUUACUUUUAAUUAUGAUUUGUUUAUGGAAGGAUUAAAAAAAAAGAGAAAGAGAGAUUGCGGUUUAUAAGGAUUGGAAGUUUAUAUUGUUAAGAUUGAUUUAUGAUUAUUAAAGGUUUAAUGUUAGAUGAUUAAUUAGUAUGUUGUUGAAAAUAAGGAUUUAUGAGUUGAUUUGUUUAAAUUAAUUUUUAUGGGUUAAGAAAUUCAUUUUUCCCUUGCUGUAAAAUCUGGACAGAAUGGUCUAAAGGUUGAAGAUGACCAAAUUUUAUUUUGGUCCUUGAUUUGUGAAAGUUUCAGUUUAGUCCCUGAACUUUGAAAAAAUUACAAUUUGACCCCUAAAUGUAUUUUGAGAUUUUGGACAGUGUUAUUAUGAGGUCAAGGAUGAUGAAUCUCAGUUUGAUAAUUGAUUUGGAAUAUUUUUAGUUUGGUCCCUCAAUUUUAGGAAUUUACAUUUUAGUCCCUGAACUUUUAAAAAAAUUACAGUUUGGUCCCUGUGUCGUUCUGGACAGAAUUGAGGAUGUUUUAUGGGUGAAAUUUCAGUAUGGUUAUGUAUUUAUAGUUUGGUCCAGUUUUGGUAAAAUUACGUUUUGGUCCCUGUUUUGGAUAAUUGUUGUUUUAGUCCCUAAACCUAGGAGACUAAACCUAGUUUUCUUUUAUGCAUUGAAAUCUUUUAUUUGUGUUGUUUUGAGUUGCUUUUGAGUAUAUUUCAUAUAUUUAUUGUAGGUUCCCCUAACUAUCCUUAAUAGGUUUUUCGGGUCUUUCAUCUGAUAUUCAUUUUAAUCUAUAUUUUUCCGGUUGAGUGGGAUAAUCUUUAAUAUGCAUAUAUUAUAAAUAAAUAUGUAUGUUGAUUAUACAAUGAGUUCCGAGUACUCAUUUAUUCUUGAAUUUGCACUCGCAAUCUGUCAAACUAAAUUCUAUUUGAUAUGAUAUACGUUUCUUUGAUGAUUCUGUGAAUAUCUAUUAUGCCUUGAUAUAGGACUUGUCAGUAACUCCAUGCUAACAGAGAGUAGUUAGCCUAUGUGCACAUAGUAUUCUGUAUACCUAGCUGAUGAGAGAGGCAUCAGCCUGUGGCGACUGAUCAUCCCACAGUGGUCACCUUCGGGUGUCAUCUGGUCACCUUCGGGUGUCAUCUAAUCUCUGACAUGUAUUCCACUACGUUAUGAUAAUAUGUUUAGUAUGUAUAUGUAUAUGUAUAUCAAGAUAAAUUAUCUUGCAAACUAUUAAUAUUAUAAAUAUCUAAAAUGUAUUUUAAAUAUUAUUCCCUCACUGAGUUGGUUGAACUCACCCCUCAUUCUUAAUAUUAUUUCAGGUUCUUAGUUUCUGAUAACAGUUGGACUUUGUUGAGUGUUCCUGCUUCUUCAGUUUUGGUCGGUAUGCCUUGCUUGUUUUGCGAGGCUUUCCUUUUAGUUUUGAUUCGAUGUUUUAGACGCUCCACUAUUACCUUGUUUUAAUUAAGUUUGGAUUUUGACAAUGUAAUGAGUAUUAUGAAUUAUUGUUUUUGUUUUAAUUACUAAUGAGGAGUUUUAAACUAUCUUUUGGUUUCAUCAGUUUUGAAUAAUAUAAUAUUUCUGAAGAUUAUGAAAUGCUGCGUAUUUUUGAAUAAAUUAUUCUUUUGAUAUGUCUGUUUUGAGGCUUAGCGUAGGUGGGGUGUCCUUUCAACACCGCUCCUGCGUUGCUGGUCAUGGACCCGGGAUUCGGGUGGUGACAUUAGAGGUGAGAGCAGAGUUCUGUUCUUGAGUAGAACACUCACAGUAAUCAGAAAGAUCAUAUCUUGGUUUAGUAAUGCACUAGUUUACGAUGUAUCUGAUCAGCUCCUCAAAAUUCUAGAACCCUCUAAAAUCUAAAUCUGCUCCUUCUGAAAAGAUUCUGGGAGUGGCACAAACUUGAUAAUUUUCAACUUUAAAUUCCUGCUCAGAAUGAUAAGGAAAUACUUGACAUCUUAAAGCUUUCUGAAAGAAGAGAUGCUUAAAAUUCUGUUGGAUGUGUGGAAACAAUUGCUGGACCAUAAUGCCAUCAACACGGGUAUUUCUUCACGUACAAAAUUGCACUUAUCGAUUAUGACCUCUUUGAGAGCUCACAAGACCAAUACCCUACCGGCAAGAAACUAAACAAUUGUAGUCCUUUAAGGUUUGGUUCAACUUCACAAGUUAGAAAUUAAUGAAUAGGUUCUUUACAACCUCACGCAGAGAAGCCACCGGCACUAGACUCUCUACGGCCACAUUAUAGUAACAAAGGACGAAAGCCAACGACACCUAGAUUUAUCAGCAAAUAUGAGCAACAAAGUAUGAUCUACCUGUGUGUCUCAUUCCACUGCAGAAAGUGCUGCAGUCAGCUACAGACUGAUUAAAGACAUCAAAGGUAGCUGUAGAAGCUCUCUUGUAAUGAAGCAGCAGAUUGUUAAGCCUUAAUUCUGAAGCAGCAUUACAAAAGUUAAAUCAAACAAUAUGUUCAAGAACUAGUGAUAUAGAAGUCUUAGUUCAAGGACUACUAGCAUUUUGACCCAUAGUUCAAGACAGUUAUGUACCUUUUAGCCUUUAAUUUAUCAGCCUCGUUACAUUGUUGGUGUGGCCUUUCGUUUGUAUUUUUCUCAUGUUCUGUUGGUAUGCUCGACUGGAAAUGAAGCUGAACUUCUUCAUAUUCUUAGGCUUUGGAAAUCAGCCUCAACCUGUCCUCUUUUGAGUUUUGUUUUGGCUUUAGAUUUUGUCAGGCAUUGGUCUACUAAGCAAUGUUGUUGUCAUAAAAUGGUGAUUUGAAGUUUUUUGUAGGCUAGUCUUGAUACGGCUACCUCUUGUAGUCUCAGGCCACUUAGAAGAUCUAUUGUAAUUUUCUCUUUAGUGUCAAUAUUAUCAGUGAUCCAAGAAAAAAGGGACAUGUCAAUAUUAUCAAUUUAUCAAGGUUGGACAUUGGCAGCUUGGACUAAUCAUUGAUAUCCAUGUUAAGGAAAAGCACAGACGACCAAAGCAAUGGGAAGUGAUAGAAAUAUAUUGAAAACUUGAAUAAACAGAAAACAAAAACACCAAUGCUGAGUAGCCAUGGUGGGAUUUAUAUGCAUACAUAUAUUAAUGGAAAGUAGUGAACACAUGUUGAUAUAUAACAUGCAUAUAGGGUUAAGGUCCCUGCAGCUUCACUGAGAAUCCAUUCAUUUCCAGGAUGAAUGAAGCAAAUUUCAUUAAUCAAAGAACCGAGUAGAAGAAAACUGAUCCCAAUAGCAGCAAUUUAUCAAGACUUUUUAGAAUUUUGGAGUAAAUUUGUAUUUUUUCAGCAAUUUAUCUUAGAUACGAGGCAGCUGUUAAAUUCCAAUUCUAUUGCCUUUCAAUCAAUUAUAUACAAACUGAUGCUUUAAGUCAAUGAUUUCAUACACAGUAGCAGAUUAAAAACACACACUGUACGUUCAUGUCCAUCUUCAAAAUCCUACUAAGAAUAGGUUACCGAGCCUCAACAACUUUUGGGUGCUUCAGAACAUCAAAGCAUCACAGUUUUGGUAAUUCCGACUAAAUUCUACCACAACUAAUGAUACCCUAAACUCUCUACCUCUUAACUUGAGAUGCUCAGGAAUUAAUCUCCACAUAUGGAGCACUAUACAGUUCAAUGGCUCAACAUACUUUAAAUUCAUCUUCUUUACCAAUCAUUCUUGAAUAUGCAGGUUACCUCGUGAAAGAGGUCUGCCGCAUCCAUGCAUCCACCUCUCUAGAUCCAUUAGGUAAUGCAGAAGAAAGACAUUUAAGGACAUUAGUGCUUACCUAAGCAUGUCUCCAGGCUGUAAUUUUGGUCCACUCAAUACUGGUGAGAUGCUGAAACUAUUGCCAUCAGCAUGGAACGAAGGGUGCCCAAGAGGCACUGGUCGAUCU
rnacentral:lncRNA from 1 species